rnacentral:lncRNA from 7 species
AAAGAUUGGCUGUGUUUUAAACAGGUGCUGGGUAUGUACUGGGCAGGAAAAUGGACUGGUUUUUAGAUAACUGCUUUUCAAUCGUUAUGUUGAUAAGUUGCUGUCAGCCAGGUGUGAAACCAAGUCUUAUUUUUUCUAAACAUGCUUUGAAAGGCUUUGAAGCUUAAUCUGCAGGGGUGAGGGCUGCUUCAUGAGCAAGGUAUCUGCACGCACCAACUGCCCUAACAGUCCUGAUGAGAAGGCUACUUGUAAAACUCCAUCGAAGUUGUGAGAGCAGGAGAGAGCACAAAAAAACACUUUUGCAUAAGAAGCUAUUAAGCACGUCAGACAGGAAGAAAUAGCUGCAUUGCAACAGGUGUGUGUCAUAACUGAUGUGAGCAGCGUUGUUUGGCCUUAUCUCUGUGAUGAGACUCUUACUUGAAUCUUGAAACAGGUGGAGAUUUAUUGAGUUCCUGAUUCAAUCUGGAUUGCAGAGGUGUAUCUGCAUCAUAUAUAUACAGCAUUUACCUGAAUUAUAAAGAAAGCUUUCAGUGCAGCUAUAAUUAGGAUUUCAGUAAUAAAGCUGUUACCCAUGUUGCUUUUUUACCUU